UAUUAAGCAAAAACCUACAUAAAACUUA
rnacentral:piRNA from 1 species